rnacentral:lncRNA from 1 species
CUUGUGAUUACUUGUAUCCAUGGCUCUGCUGAAAAUAGGUGGGAGGUAAGAAAAACAACAUUGACAAAUUAUAAAGGUCACUCACCUAUGGUGCUAUUGAUCACCAAGUCAAAGCUCUGAAUGUCCUGAGACUGCUCUGCUACCUGGAAUCCCAGAGUACCUGGGAGGUCUCCUAUAGGUCCUGCAGCCAAGCCCCAUGUCCUCUGCAGACAUGUGAGUGAAGUCACUUCCAGAUGAUGCCAACCCUUUGCUGUGGAUUCAACUCCAGCCAAUGAGUCUUCUCUGCAGUCCCCAAAACCAAUAAGCAGCAAUAAGCCAGCUUUUCUGUCUUCCUAGCCCUGUGAACCAUGAACAAAAUAAAGUGGUUGUUUUAUGCAUUAU